rnacentral:rRNA from 1 species
UGAAACUCAAAGGAAUUGACGGGGGCCCGCACAAGCGGUGGAGCAUGUGGUUUAAUUCGAAGCAACGCGAAGAACCUUACCAGGUCUUGACAUCCUCUGACAACUCUAGAGAUAGAGCGUUCCCCUUCGGGGGACAGAGUGACAGGUGGUGCAUGGUUGUCGUCAGCUCGUGUCGUGAGAUGUUGGGUUAAGUCCCGCAACGAGCGCAACCCUUGAUCUUAGUUGCCAGCAUUUAGUUGGGCACUCUAAGGUGACUGCCGGUGACAAACCGGAGGAAGGUGGGGAUGACGUCAAAUCAUCAUGCCCCUUAUGACCUGGGCUACACACGUGCUACAAUGGAUGGUACAAAGGGCUGCAAGAC